rnacentral:tRNA from 1 species
GGGGAAAUAGUUAAAUGGUAGAAUGUCCAUCAGUUGAAUAGGCUGAGGGUUGGUAUAGGUUCGACUCCUGUUUUCUCCACAA